UAAAGCUACUAAGGGUGUACGGGGGAUGCCUAGGCACAUGGAGACGAUGAAGGACGUGAUAAGCUGCGAUAAGCCUCGGGUAGGUGCAAAUAACCUUAGAUCCGGGGAUUUCCGAAUGGGGUAACCCAUCUAGAUUAAUCUCUAGAUACUUCUGCUUGAAUACAUAGAGNAGAUAGAGUCAACGGAGUGAACUGACACAUCUAAGUAACUCCAGGAANAGAAAAUAAAAAUGAUUCCCUAAGUAGUGGCGAGCGAACGGGGAAGAGCCUAAACCAUCAACGUGUCAAGCUUNCAGGNNUUGCGCUGGUGGUGUUGUGGGGCAANUUUUNNGNUAACUGNAAUUANCNNAGUGAGUCAAAAAUUCGAUGGUUAGGUGAACGGUCUGGAAAGUCCGAUCAUAGAAGGUGAUAAUCCUGUAACCNAAAACCUGAGAACUCGCUUAAUUUGUUCCCAAGUAGCGCGGGACACGAGAAAUCUUGUGUGAAUCUGCCGGGACCAUCCGGUAAGGCUAAAUACUCCCAUGUGACCGAUAGUGAACUAGUACCGUGAGGGAAAGGUGAAAAGUACUCCUAGCGGAGAGUGAAAUAGAACCUGAAACCGUAUACCUACAAGCGGUCGGAGCUCCACUUUGGUGGGGUGACGGCGUGCCUUUUGCAUAAUGAGCCAGCGAGUUGCUCGUACGUCGCAAGGUUAAGAAUGAACAUUCGGAGCCGAAGCGAAAGCAAGUCUGAACAGGGCGUUCAGUGGCGUGCGGCAGACCCGAAACUGAGUGAUCUAGCCAUGACCAGGAUGAAGUCCCGGUAACACGGGAUGGAGGUCCGAACCCACUUCGGUUGAAAACGGAGGGGAUGAGUUGUGGUUAGGGGUGAAAGGCCAAUCAAACUCAGAGAUAUCUGGUUCUCGCCGAAAUGCGUUUAGGCGCAGCGUUGUAUUAGUGUACCGGGGGUAGAGCACUGAAUGGGCUAGGGGGCCUACAAGCUUACCAACCCCAAUCAAACUCCGAAUACCGGAUACAUGAUGUACAGCAGUGAGGCUGCGGGCGAUAAGGUUCGUAGCCGAGAGGGAAACAACCCAGAUCAACAGCUAAGGUCCCAAAGUCAAUGCUAAGUGAAAAAGGAUGUCAAAUCGCCCAGACAGCUAGGAGGUUGGCUUAGAAGCAGCCAUCCUUUAAAGAAAGCGUAACAGCUCACUAGUCGAGGGGUUUUGCGCCGAUAAUAACCGGGACUAUAAGCAUUGCACCGAAGCUUUGAACUCAAUUUAUUGAGUGGUAGGCGAGCGUUCCAUCCACCGUUGAAGGUUGACCCGUGAGGGCAGCUGGAGGAAAUGGAAAUGAGUAUGCUGGCAUGAGUAGCGUUAAACAUAGUGAAAUUCUAUGUCACCGUAAGCCCAAGGUUUCCUGAGUAAAGUAACUCUGCUCAGGGUUAGUCGGACCCUAAGCCGAGGCCGAAAGGCGUAGGCGAUGGAAAACGGGUAAAAUAUUCCCGUACCAGCGAUUAAUUGUUUGANCUAAGGGGGGACGCAGGAGUGAAAGNUNAGCNCGGUAUUGAAUGUCCGNGUCUAAGCANGUAGGGNGAUCUNGUAGGUAAAUCCGCUGGAUCUUAUANCCUGAGAUGCGAAUGGGAAGCGCGCCUUCGGGCAAGCCAACUAACCCUAAUCAGACUGCCAAGAAAAUCCUCUAUGUNAGAAUAAUAGCUGACCGUACCGUAAACGGACACACGUGGGCGGCGAGAGUAUCGUAAGGUGCUUGGGAGAAUCAUGGUUAAGGAACUCGGCAAAAUGNCCCCGUAACUUCGGGAGAAGGGGUGCCCUNAUUANGUAANGAUCUUCGCGAUCNGAGCUGAAAAGGGCCGCAGUGAAGAGGCCCAAUCGACUGUUUAACAAAAACACAGGUCUAUGCUAAGUCGUAAGACGAAAUAUAUGGACUGACACCUGCCCGGUGCCGGAAGGUUAAAUGGAGAGGUUAGCUUUCGAGCGAAGCUUUGAAAUGAAGCCCCGGUAAACGGCGGCCGUAACUAUAACGGUCCUAAGGUAGCGAAAUUCCUUGUCGGGUAAGUUCCGACCUGCACGAAUGG
rnacentral:rRNA from 1 species